UCAAUUAAAAGUUCCAAACCUAAAAAUUUAGAUUUAUUUUCAGAUUCUUUUUCGUGCCUUGGUUGCUAGUCCACAUCUGUCUAGUCCUGGCCCUGUUUAUUGGUGGGUUUCUUGUUAUCAUUUGGUUCAGUGCUAUUUGGACUUUUCCAGGAUUUGCUGCAAUGGGGGGAAUACCUAUAGCAGGAGCAGUUCUACUAAUGUACAUUGGUAAUGUUCUAGUACAGUGACAAACAGAAAACAGAUUGUCGUCUUCUAUCUUGCUUUAAAUAUGAAAUGCCGCUGAGAAUUUUGUAAUUUAGGAAUUAUUGAUUUUUUAAAUGUCUCCUAGAUGU